CCCGCUAGUCAGAUACACCGUCAAUACGUGUUUAUACGCAGUUUAGACCUAUUUGCAAAAAUCUAGAGCAAUGUUGGUACUGACACGUAAAAAUUAGCAAUCGUGGUACCAAUUUGCAUGUGAUGCCCCAAUUAUGGUAUUUCUAUGCAAUUAACUCCUCUCUCUCUCCUAUCUCUUUUUUCUCCGCAGGACCAGAUCAGUAGGUGCAGCAAUCAACGCCUCUCUCUGCUCUCUCUACCUCUCACCUCUCUGCUCUCUCUCAUCCUCUACAGCAGCAUCGCCCAGCAUGCCCUCUCCAGGCACCCAUCGCCUCGAACACCACUCUGUUGCUGCUUAGACCAGCACCGUGGCCGCACUCAGAUGCAACAGCAGAGAGUGGGAGAGUUCAGAGCAAGCAGGGGCAUCUGAGAAGUAGAAGGAGCAGCAGCAGAGGCGUGAGGACAGAAGUAGCAGCAGCAGGGUAGCCCGAGCAGGUGUCCAGAACUCCAGACACCAUUGGCUGUGGUCAGACGCGCCGGUUGGAGGGAGACCACGCGGAUGACCAGACACCCUCCUGGUGUGGUCUUGUGGUGCUGACGGUGCUAGUUGUAUGUGGCCUCAACAGGAACUCGCCACCAUACCGCCGGUCGGUCACCGGAGGCACCACAGCCGGCGACCACCUUCCUCACCAUGCGCCCCUUCUCCUUCUCCUUGCUUCCUCUCUCCCCCACGUCCCUGUCCAUCUCUUUCUCUGGAUGAGAAGGCCGCCGCCGCCACCGGAGCAAGCCCUCGCACCACCCGCCAGAUCCCUCCCUCACCUUGCGCCCCUUCUCCUUCUCCUUUCUUCCUCUGUUUCCUCUCUCCCUGAGGCCCUUAUCUCUCCUUCUCUGGAUGAGCAGGACGCCGCUGGCACCGGAACAAGCCGCCGCACCAGCCGCCAGUCAACGCCGCGCCCGGAUCUGCCCGUCUUCCUCGCGCCGCCACCGCGCCUCGCGUCACCCGCCGGCCGCCUUCCCGUUCCCGCAGGGAUCAGGACUGGCUCUACUAUCUGCAGGCAAGAAUAUGAUGUUGGCUUGCUAAUGUUUAGGGGAAGAGAGUAGCACCUAACGCUAGAACUAUGAUCGGUUAGCUCCCAAACUUGAGAAUCAUGUGUGCACUGGCAGCAACAAGAGGAUGUUUCAAAGGUAUGUUUACUGGGCAUGCCUAUUGACCAUAAUGCAAAUAAAGUUCUGCUUCAUCGCAGUUUGGA